rnacentral:ncRNA from 2 species
UCCAAGCAAUUCAUUUAGCGUAAAACAGUUUUUCAACGAGGAACUCCGUGGAAUCCGGAGGCGGUCGCGCCACUGUAUUUGAAUUUGGAGACAUGGUGAUUUGGCGACUUGGUGAUUUUUAAAUCAUCAAUCAAACAAUCAUCAAAUCAACAAAUAUUCAAGAGCCAGACCCUCGCUGAAGACGGAUAAUGG